UCAGCUCAAUGCAUCUUAGACUAGUC
rnacentral:piRNA from 1 species